rnacentral:rRNA from 1 species
UACAGAGGUCUCAAGCGUUGUUCGGAUUCAUUGGGCGUAAAGGGUGCGUAGGUGGCGCGGUAAGUCGGGUGUGAAAUUUCGGAGCUUAACUCCGAAACUGCAUUCGAUACUGCCGUGCUUGAGGACUGGAGAGGAGACUGGAAUUUACGGUGUAGCAGUGAGAUGCGUAGAGAUCGUAAGGAAGACCAGUGGCGAAGGCGGGUCUCUGGACAGUUCCUGACGCUGAGGCACGAAAGCGUGGGGAGCAAACAGG